rnacentral:rRNA from 1 species
AGAGAGAGACAUGCGCGCAUAUCAAUAAGCGGAGGAAAAGAAACUAACUAGGAUUCCCUCAGUAACGGCGAGUGAAGCGGGAAGAGCUCAAAUUUGAAAUCUUCAAGGUUCUACCUUGACGAAUUGUAGUUUAAAGAAGUGUUUUCUGUUGAAGUUUUGGUAAAAGUUCUUUGGAAUAGGACAUCAUAGAGGGUGAGAAUCCCGUAUUUGACCAUUAUUUCCAGCUUUGUGAUACACUUUCAAAGAGUCGGAUUGUUUGGGAAUGCAGUCCAAAAUGGGUGGUAAAUUUCAUCUAAAGCUAAAUAUUGGCGAGAGACCGAUAGCGAACAAGUACCGUGAGGGAAAGAUGAAAAGAACUUUGAAAAGAGAGUUAAACAGUACGUGAAAUUGUCAAAAGGGAAGCGUUUGACACCAGUGUUGUUUUCUCGAAAAUCAAUUAAAAAAGGCAGGAUUUUGUGUUGUAUUGACUUUAUCAGCUUUCUGCACUCUUUUCUUGUCUUUUUUAAUGCACUUUUCGUUUAACAAGUCAACAUCAGUUUCUUUUGUUGUAAAAAGGUCAUUGGAAGGUGGCUUUCUUUUCGGAGAAAGUGUUUAUAGCCUUUGACUCCUGCAAUCGGAGAGAUUGAGGUCUGCAGCGUAGAUCCUUCGGGGCUAAAUGCAUUUGUGCUAAGUUAUAACAUUUUAUAGACAACUUGUUGACUAUGAUUUGUCUUGUAGCUUACUCGCUUAUGUUAUUUUACCUACGCUUAGGAUGUUGAUGUGAUACUGCGAGCA